CACGUAGGGCGCAAGCGUUUGUCCGGAAUUAUUGGGCGUAAAGAGCUCGUAGGUGGUUUGCUGCGUCCGCUGUGAAAACCCAAGGCGUUAACCUUGGGCUUGCAGUGGAUACGGGCAGACUAGAGGUAGGUAGGGGAGAAUGGAAUUCCCGGUGUAGCGGUGAAAUGCGCAGAUAUCGGGAGGAACACCGGUGGCGAAGGCGGUUCUCUGGGCCUUACCUGACACUGAGGAGCGAAAGCGUGGGGAGCGAACAG
rnacentral:rRNA from 1 species